CAUUGUGUUUCUUUUAUUUAAGAUUUACAAAAGGGAAUGGACAAUUUCCCUAACAAUGUUACCCUCUCCUCUUUUAUAGUAAUGGACAAUUGAACAUAACUUCCACAUCGUUUUGUACUAUUAAUUCCAUGAGAUUCGAAUAAUAUUAGAUAAUAGUAAUAUUCUUGUUUAAUAAGGUGUAAUCCUUCUGGAGCAAGAGGAACUCUGUCCCAAUUAAAGAUGAGGCACAAAAUCCUGCAAAAAGCUAAUAGAAAGGAGGCAGAGGCUCGUCAGACAGGUGGGGGCCACCACCACCUCCCCUCACCCCAUCUGAGGACCUGGUUCUGUCCCUGAAUAAAGGGCGACCAGUGGUUGAGGGCAUUCCUGGGGCACUUCAUCACACACCACCUCCCACGACAUGAGUAACUUACGUUCACCACAGUAGUACUAACUUAUAUCGUUGUUUUAUUUAUUUAUUUAAUUCAACUACUAUCUCUGUCACUAGGAUUUCUGAAUCUGCUUAACAGUAGAAUGCAGGCUUAUU